AGCUUUUUAGUUUAUUAUAAAAUUUUUACUUGUGGCGUAAAAGAAUUUAAGCUA
rnacentral:tRNA from 1 species